AUCCAGCUGACGAGUCUCAAAUGGGACGACACGCGCGUCCUGGAU
rfam:Schistosoma rodhaini strain Burundi genome assembly, scaffold: SROB_scaffold0000015